UACAGAGGUUUCAAGCGUUGUUCGGAUUCACUGGGCGUAAAGGGUGCGUAGGCGGCGCGGUAAGUCGGGUGUGAAAUUUCGGAGCUUAACUCCGAAACUGCAUUCGAUACUGCCGUGCUUGAGGACUGGAGAGGAGACUGGAAUUUACGGUGUAGCAGUGAAAUGCGUAGAGAUCGUAAGGAAGACCAGUGGCGAAGGCAGGUCUCUGGACAGUUCCUGACACUGAGGCACGAAGGCCAGGGGAGCAAACGGG
rnacentral:rRNA from 1 species